rnacentral:lncRNA from 1 species
GGGUAAUGUUUGGGGUGCUACUACUAGUGCUUUUGCAUUUGAAGAAGUUGAGAAAAUUCACUGUGAUGAUUUCGAAAGAAAUAGAAGGAGAGUCUGGUAAGGAGAACUUCUUGUUAAAUGCCUGGCACUUGUGUUGCCUCACUUGGCAUGAAGCUUGGGGUCCCUAGCCCAAAUGUAUAAUUAAAUGGAUUUACUAAAGCAUAGUACGAAUCUCCUCCAGGAAGCAGUUGGAUUCUCGGAUAUGGUUUAGCAUCACAACCAGAUAAGAACAUUAUUCCACAGUCAGGUUGUGUGGAAAGAGAGAAAGGAAAGCUCAGGUCAGUAAGAUUUUCACAUGAAAAGGACAUUGGACAAGUUGAAUCAUUUCUGCCCUUUGCCUGAACUAAGUAACUGAUCAGAAAAAAAGAUAUAAAAGAAGUGAAAGUCAUAUUAAAUCCUCCCACUGAUCUAGCAAAAGUAUCCUCCUAUAUUAUGAAUUCAGUUGUUCACUGCACUUAUGCUUUUAAGAGCACAGUGAAUGUGGAAAAGUUGUUAAAACGUAUAUUAGGGGCUGUGAGGAAAUUUUCAAAGCACCUUAUUGUCAACAGAAAGACUUGAAAGUCAUCUAGCAAUAACUAGACUACAUUUUCAAGCAUAGUGAAAGAAAAUGACUUGAUAUGUAUCCAGGAUGGCUUCAUUUUAAGAUAUUCCCUCAGUCCCAAAAGGGCUUUCAAAAUAUUCAUUUGGCCCAUGGGCUAACUUCGGUCAAGUCUUACGGGCCGGUUGGCUUUCUUGGGCUGGGCUAAAAGGCCUCGGUCUUUUCAAUGGACUCAAAUAAAAUUUAGUUCAGCCCUUACUCUUAAAUAAAGGGCUAGGCACCAAGCCAUGAUAGCAUAACUUCAGCUAACAGAUGAAACAAGUCACUACCAUUUGAUUUUUCUGCUGUAUUUGCUGCCAAAGGACAGCUACUAGGAAGAGGAAAUCCUGGAUAAUAAUUGACUGAUAUGUUAUAGUAUAUGAAACUAUCACAUGUUAGAGUGAGUCCCAAAUUUGGUUGGGGAAUGGACCUGUGGUCCCCUUAUAUGGACUUGGGCAAUCCUCCCCUCAUGAGCUAGCUUUUGGGGUUGAGUUAGGCCAUUUACCAUAUCUUUACAUGGUAUCAAAGUCAAGUCUUGGGUGUGAAGGAGGUGUUAGAGUGGGUAAAAGUCCCACAUUGGUUGAGAAUUUUUUAUCAAAAAUCUGGCAACUUCGAUUCUUCAAGAAUGUUUCAAGAACGGGUCCUUAAGGUUGACAAAAACAUGCUGAAACCUUUUGUACUAAGAAACAUCAAUAUCUUGUUUUAAUAAAGAUGUAAAUAUAAAAUUUGAGUUUUCUUUCUUAACCCAAACAAGAUCCAAAAUUAGAAUCUUACUUAGCUUGCAACAGUCUAACGGUCUUACCGAGAUCCAAACUGGUAAAUAGCACAGAUGAAGAGAUAGGAUAUCCAUUUUAACGGUCUCACAGUGGUCAAGGGUAUUAGUUCUAGUCUCCUUAUUUGAUCUUGGAAAGAUCUCAUCACAUAUGCUAACUUUUGGGGUUGAAUUAGGCAGUAUAUCCCAAUUGGGCUAACCAAUAAGGUAAUCCCAUUAUCAAAUUGUCUGGAAAUUAUCUAUUGCCAGACAUAUGCUGAACAGGUAAAAUGAAAAGCACUAAUCAGGUUUGCUUAUUAUGCUGACAUUCCUCUAGGCAAAUCACUCUUCAUUUAGCAUUAACUGAUUAAGAAAAGCAUGAAUUUACAGCUUCUUACAUUCAAGGACAUCUAAACACAUCAGAAACCGAACCUGUAACAGUACCAGUUUUUGCUACAAUUCCAUAACAAAAUGUGACUACAGUGAUAUUAGCUGAGAAAUGAACACAUAAAGGCUAGGCCAGUUCUACUACUGAUGAAUCUACCUCUGUUCUUGAGGGAGAAUAAAGAUAAGGCUUGGGAGGCAUUUGCAAAGAGUCUAGUUUCCCUUCUAACAUUUCCACAAUCUUGCUCAUAGAUGGUCGAUUUGAGGGAUCAGUCUGUAUACACCAUAAACUCACCAUCACCAUCUUUCUUGCACAUUCUUUCUCCUCUUCAUUCAUUAUCCCGAUUAGUUGAAGCUCUUCGUCUAGUUCAAUUCGUUGAUAGAUCCAAUGUGGAAAGUAGAUUUCACUAGUGCGAUCAACUCCAACGUCAACAUUUUUUCUUCCUCCAACCAUCUCUAGGACCAUCAUUCCAUAGCUAUAGACGUCAGACUUGUGAGAGACACCUCCCAAGUUUCUGCAAACGAUUUCUGGAGCAAUAUAACCGAUAGUCCCUCGUGUGACACGAUACUCUCCUGUUUCAUGCACAGUUUGGCAAGACCAAAGUCAGAGAUCUUCGGACAAAAAUCUUCAUCAAGCAGGAUAUUAUGAGGCUUUAUAUCAAAAUGCAAAAUCCGAGUGGUACAACCACGAUGCAAGUACUCCAAUCCUCGAGCAAUGCCUAGUGCAAUUUUGUACAGUAUUGGCCAACCCAAUUGACGAACACUGUCGGAUCUUUCCUCAUAGAUAAAUUUUUCAAGAGAUCCAUUUGGCAUGAACUCAUAUACGAGAGCUCUUUUGUGACCCUCAAAACAAAAUCCCACAAGGCUCACGAUGUUAACAUGCGAUGUUCUGCUAAUACCUGCUACUUCAUUAAUGAAAUCUUCACCACUGCCUUUUAGUUUAUUCAGGACCUUCACUGCCACUUGACUCCCGUUACACAAACUUCCUCUGUAUACAUUACCAAAUCCUCCUUGGCCUAGUUUGCUUCUGAAGUGACCGGUGAUUCUUUUGAUGUCUGUAUAAUUGUAUCUGUUUGGAGCGUAUGAACUAUAGUUCUUUAAGAAUGCUUCAACUUUUUGGUUAUCCUCAGCAUUAGAUUCUGAAAACCUGAGGCCCUUGUACCGCAUAAUCUUUUCUCUGAAGUAGAAAAGUAGAAUCAACAGUCCAACAGUUAAUAAACCUGUACCUGUUGAAAAAAAUGAAGUCAUGCACCAUCAGAGAAUAUAAAUAGAACUAAUUCUGAAUGUCUUAUGCACUAUCAAGGAAGUAGUUUGCCUUUGGGACUAUGCAAAUAGUAGAUAUGUACAAAAAAAUGCAGUCAGUUAUCCGUACGUUGUGUAAUCUUAAGUACUUGCCUCUCCAGUUUUUUGAGAUUUUACCACAAUGAAGAAGAAAAUCUAAAAUGAUAUGCAUGGAAAUUCUGAAAUAAGAACAAACUGUUCAGUUAUUGUAUUCAACUACCUGCUCCCAGAAUCAGUCCGAACUUUCUUCUAGUCGUUAUUGCAUCUAAAAAAAGAGGAAAAAUACUAUGAAAUAUUAUCAAUAUUUGAUACAAAAAUGAGAAAGGACUUUAUGAAAUACGCACUAGACCUUGAGCAUGUGGAUUAUUUUCUUGAUGACCUUGAGCUUGUGGAUUAUUUGAAUAUGUACAAUGAAAUUUGUUGGCUAUAUCAUUCCGGCAUUGACCUCCGCCAUAGUGACAUCGGUAACAGCCCUCAGACAGUUUAUAUUCUACUAGAAAAGCAGGGCUUAACAUAUUGAACAAACCAACAUCAUCUGAAAUGGAGCGGAUUGGCAAUCUGAUAAGUGAACAGUUGGCAGGAAGAUUGCCUGCUCGAACGUCUUCAUCAUCAUCUCCAGGAAGCUUGUAGUAUAUGCUAAAACCUUUACAGCCAUUGUACAUUUUAUAACCAGCAAAAUGAUCAUUCUUCUUCUGGGUAAUGUUUGGGGUGCUCUUACUAGUGCUGUUGCAUUUGAAGAAGUUGACAAAAUUCAUUGGGACGAUUUCAAAAGAAAUAGAAGGAGAGUUUGGUAAGAAGAAAUAUUUGUUAAAAGCCUGGCACUUGUGUUGCAUCAACUCGGCAUGAAGCUUGGGGUCCCCCAGCUCAACUGUAUAAUUAAACGGAUAUCCUAAAGCAUAGUACCAAUCUCCUUCAGGGAACAGUUGUAAUCUUGGAAAUGGUUUAGCAUCACAACCAGAUAAGAACAUUAUUCCACAGUUGGGUUGUGUCGAAAGAGAGAAAGGAAAGCUCAGGUCAGUAAGAUUUCCACAUGAAAAGGACUUUGGACAAGUUGAAUCAUUUCUGCCCUUUGUCUGAACUAAGUAACUGAUCAGAAGAAAACUUAUAAAAGAAGUGAAAGUCAUCAGAUCCUCCCACUGUUCAAGAAGAGGAAAAAAUAUGAAUUCAGU